AUGGAUGUAUUUAUUCUACACGUGUGUCUUACCAGCCAUGAACAGAUUUUCAGCUGGAAACAAAACGACGAGCAGAGACCUGUGUCUUUUACAAGGGUAUUUGAGACAGAAACGGUAAUCCAAACAAGGCCUAAGCCACUCAACUACAGACCACUGUUCCACUACCAGUUUCCUCGUGUAACUUCACCUUCAUGUCUGUAUUGGUUUGGUUGUUAUUCUGAAGCAUGGUAUUCCAAAUACUGUACCAGAAUGAAAUAUGCUUGUCGUUACUACUGUGUUUGUGAUUGUGAAGCAUGGUAUUGUCUGUUUAUUCUGGUUUUGCCUGUGAGUUAA
rnacentral:rRNA from 1 species